rnacentral:rRNA from 1 species
AUUGAACGCUGGCGGCAUGCUUUACACAUGCAAGUCGGACGAGUGGCGAACGGGUGAGUAACGCAUCGGCACGUUCCGCGUCAUGGGGGAUAACUGUCCGAAAGGACAGCUAAUACCGCAAAUUAUUCGAGCGGCCGAUGUCUGAUUGGAUGGUUGGCGGGGUAAAGGCUCACCAGGGCGACGAUCACGAGCGGGUCUGAGAGGAUGAACGGCCACACUGGAACUGAGACACGGCCCAGACUCCUACGGGAGGCAGCAGGGGGGAAUUUUGGACAAUGGGCGCAAGCCGGAUCCAGCCAUGCCGCGUGUCUGAAGAAGGCCUUCGGGUUUUAAAGGACUUUUAUCAGGGAAGCGGUACCUGAAGAAUAAGCACCGGCUAACUACGUGCCAGCAGCCGCGGUAAUAC